AUUGAACGCUGGCGGCAGGCCUAACACAUGCAAGUCGAACGGUAACAGGAAGAAGCUUGCUUCUUUGCUGACGAGUGGCGGACGGGUGAGUAAUGUCUGGGAAACUGCCUGAUGGAGGGGGAUAACUACUGGAAACGGUAGCUAAUACCGCAUAACGUCGCAAGCCCAAAGAGGGGGACCUUCGGGCCUCUUGCCAUCGGCUGUGCCCAGAUGGGAUUAGCUAGUAGGUGGGGUAACGGCUCACCUAGGCGACGAUCCCUAGCUGGUCUGAGAGGAUGACCAGCCACACUGGAACUGAGACACGGUCCAGACUCCUACGGGAGGCAGCAGUGGGGAAUAUUGCACAAUGGGCGCAAGCCUGAUGCAGCCAUGCCGCGUGUAUGAAGAAGGCCUUCGGGUUGUAAAGUACUUUCAGUGGGGAGGAAGGGAGUAAAGUUAAUACCUUUGCUCAUUGACGUUACCCGCAGAAGAAGCACCGGCUAACUCCGUG
rnacentral:rRNA from 1 species